AUUGAACGCUGGCGGCAUGCCUUACACAUGCAAGUCGAACGGCAGCGGGCCUUCGGGUGCCGGCGAGUGGCGAACGGGUGAGUAAUGCAUCGGAACGUGCCAUUGAGUGGGGGAUAACGUAGCGAAAGUUACGCUAAUACCGCAUAUUCUGUGAGCAGGAAAGCAGGGGACCGCAAGGCCUUGCGCUCUUUGAGCGGCCGAUGUCAGAUUAGCUAGUUGGUGAGGUAAAGGCUUACCAAGGCGACGAUCUGUAGCGGGUCUGAGAGGAUGAUCCGCCACACUGGAACUGAGACACGGUCCAGACUCCUACGGGAGGCAGCAGUGGGGAAUUUUGGACAAUGGGCGCAAGCCUGAUCCAGCCAUGCCGCGUGAGUGAAGAAGGCCUGGUUGUAA
rnacentral:rRNA from 1 species